rnacentral:tmRNA from 1 species
GGGGACGACUUGGCUUCGACUGGAGUGGUUUCGGAGAUUGGUUGCAUGUCGGACUGAGCAUUUCCGUUACGCGGCUCAACUUGCUUAAACGCAAACAACACUAAUUACCGCCCAGCUUACGCAGUAGCAUAAGUUUUACCCCCUCGCAAGAGGACGGGCUGCUUCGCUCUUCAAUACUAUCUGAGAAGAGAUUAUGAAGUAUAACCCUCAUGAUAGAUAUAUUUAUGGGAUGUUUCGACCAUAAACGAAUUUAGAAAAUCGUCUUGUCUAGCCUUGUAGGUUGUGCGAAAUCAAGAUUAAACCUAAACAAUCUUUCUAAACAUGUAGACGCCUUUUUCUAUCCAUUUUAGGACUGCGGUUCGAUCCCGCACGUCUCCACCA